rnacentral:rRNA from 1 species
UACGUAGGGACCGAGCGUUGUCCGGAAUCAUUGGGCGUAAAGAGCGUGUAGGCGGCCAACUAAGUCCUGCGUGAAAUCUCGGGGCUCAACCCCGAGCGGUCGUGGGAAACUGGUUGGCUAGAGUGCGGGAGAGGAGAGUGGAGUUCCUGGUGUAGCGGUGAAAUGCGCAGAUAUCAGGAAGAACACCCGUGGCGAAGGCGGAUCUCUGGGCCUUACCUGACGCUCAGGUGCGAAAGCUAGGGGAGCGAACAGG